GAAAUGCGAUAAGUAGUGUGAAUUGCAGAAUUCCGUGAAUCAUCAAGUUUUUGAACGCACAUUGCACUCUAUGGCAUUCCGUAGAGUAUACCUGUUUGAGCAUCAGUAACCUACCAUCACCAGGAAGGGUUUUUUC
rnacentral:misc_RNA from 1 species